rnacentral:lncRNA from 1 species
AGUUGAAGUAUAGAGACAAUAAGACAUUCAAAACAUGCAACAGAUGUUAGGUGGUCCUUUGGACAGGUUGUGUAUGGUGCAAGGUGAUGAAUUUGUGCUGAAUUAUGAUCUGCAACUUUAACCCAAAGUUGUGUGACCCUUAAGUCAAUUCUAUUGGGAGGCUGAUAUUACUCUGGUGGGAAGUACGGGCCAAUCUCGUAACAAUAAGCGGAGUCUCUAGUAGACUUAGGCAGGGUAUUAUGGGACUGUAACAGAGGUCAUGCAAUCAAGGAGCAACAGCUACAAGGUGCUGUACUGUGGCAAUAAAAGAAGUGUUAUAGGGGAGGAUGGAGCGCGGAACAAGGCAUCUAGCAAGGAACGAGUGUCAAACCCCUGUAUUGAGCAUGGUGGUUGGGUGCUGAGGAGUUCGGUGUGCAGAUGCUGUCAUGUGCAACACUCUGCUGCUUGGUAUGCUGGAAUUGGAUGUGGGGAUGUGCUUAUUUCACUCCAUUCAGAUUUGAAGCCACUGUUUUUGUGCUUUUCUGAGUGCUAGUGGUUCUGAUUGACCUAAGGCAUGUGCUGGUUUCUAGUAGCCUGCAGGUUGUUUUACUGCAUCAAUGAUUGUGUGAGUCUAGUAGGUGCUCUAUGGUGAUCAAGAACCAAAAGCUUCUGUUGUAUGGAGUUCUUGACUAUUGUAUACGGGUUGGGACACCCCAGAAGUGUCCCAUUUUAAUUUUAUUUAUUCUUUGCUGAUUAAAAAAAAAAGACAUUCAAAACAAAGAGAGACAUCAUAAAAACAAAUGACAAUUCAAUCCUUAUGCUUCGUGAUCAAAUCUCAAGAAAUCAAAUAGAAAGGAAACUCAUGAAAUUAGGUUAUCCUGAAUUAUUGGUCGUUCUAAACACUUCCAGAUUUUAAUCCUCAACCAUUCUUGAGGUCUCCACAUGCUAAAAAGGAAUGAACACAAACAAAUCAACACCUAAAACGGAA